CCUACGGGUGGCAGCAGUGGGGAAUAUUGGGCAAUGGGCGCAAGCCUGACCCAGCAACGCCGCGUGAAGGAAGAAGGCUUUCGGGUUGUAAAAUUCUUUUGUCAGGGAAGAGUAGAAGACGGUACCUGACGAUUAAGCUACGGCUAACUACGUGCCAGCAGCCGCGGGAAUACGUAGGUGGCCAGCGUUGUCCGGAUUUACUGGGGGUAAAGGGCGUGUAGUCGGGUUGACAAGUCAGAUGUGAAAUCCUGGGGCGUAACCGCAGAACUGCAUUUGAAACUGUUGAUCUUGAGUCCUGGAGAGGCAGAUGGAAUUCCUAGUGUAGCGGUGAAAUGCGUAGAUAUUAGGAGGAACACCGGUGGCGAAGGCGGUCUGCUGGACAGCAACUGACGGUGAGGCGCGAAAGCGUGGGGAGCAAACAGGAUUAGAUACCCUUGUAGUC
rnacentral:rRNA from 1 species